rnacentral:lncRNA from 1 species
GUUUAAUUUGACCAAGGGGUACAACUCUGAAUGUUCUCAAAGGGUUGUCGUUCAUUUCUGUUUUUUUUUUUUUUUUAUAUUUAGGUCAGUUUUCUCUAUUUCUUACCCAUUGUUCUCUAUCACUUAUUGUUUUGUCACAUAAUUCUCUAGUCUUUAUUUUUUGCUUCAUUGUUCGAAAGAUUUGAACCCUUAUUCUCUAUUCAGUAAACCCCAUUUAAACCCUCUUCUAUGAAGCUCGUGUGGUUUUGCUUUUCUGAAAUAUUUUCUGAAUUUGGCUAUCUCAUGCUUAGAUGUAUAAAUAGAUAGAUUGUAAAUUCCCUUAAAACUAAUUACAAUUAAGUUUCUAGAGAAGUACAAUAACAAUAUAAAUACUCCGGCCAUCGGGGUGAUCUUACACUGACACAACGCGUUCUCAUUGGAUAACUAUAAUUACUUACACAACAGUUAAAUAGAUAAGUAUUAGAGCGACAAUGUUUCACGGAAAACCUGCAGUCAAAAUCCCAUUUCAUCAAACAAUAUGUGCCAUCUUCUGAGAACAGGAUAUUUGAUAAAUAGGGCAUCUUUAAAAUAAAGGAAAGAUACAAGUAUGUAGGUGAUGGCUUCCUUCCUCAUUUAUAAAUAUCAACUCGCUUCGAUAUUUUUUAUCAACAUCAUCGCAUUAGCUUGUUUUCUUUCAUAAAAGUGACUGAUGGAAACCAAAAACAUUUAUGAUUCCCAUGACUUUUAUAAGUGUACACC